GACGAACGCUGGCGGCGUGCUUAACACAUGCAAGUCGAACGGAGGUAUUAUUGAAGCUUGCUUUAAUAAUACUUUAGUGGCGGACGGGUGAGUAACGCGUGGGUAACCUGGCCUGAAGAGGGGGAUAACACCGCGAAAGUGGUGCUAAUACCGCAUGACGUUAUCGGAUCACAUGGUCUGAUAACCAAAGGAGUAAUCCGCUUUAGGAUGGACCCGCGUCUGAUUAGCUAGUUGGUGGGGUAACGGCCUACCAAGGCGACGAUCAGUAGCCGGCCUGAGAGGGUGAACGGCCACACUGGGACUGAGACACGGCCCAGACUCCUACGGGAGGCAGCAGUGGGGAAUCUUCCGCAAUGGACGAAAGUCUGACGGAGCAACGCCGCGUGAAUGAAGAAGGCCUUCGGGUUGUAAAGUUCUGUCUUCAGGGAAGAAAAAAAUGACGGUACCUGAGGAGGAAGCCCCGGCUAACUACGUGCCAGCCGCCGCCGUAAAAC
rnacentral:rRNA from 1 species